GUGCCAGCAGCCGCGGUAAUACGGAGGAUCCAAGCGUUAUCCGGAUUUAUUGGGUUUAAAGGGUGCGUAGGCGGCAUUUUAAGUCAGGGGUGAAAUACAGCGGCUCAACCGUUGCAGUGCCUUUGAUACUGAAGUGCUUGAAUGUGAUCGAAGGAGGCGGAACGGGACAAGCAGCGGUGAAAUGCAUAGAUAUGUCCCAGAACCCCGAUUGGGAAGGCAGCUUCCUAGAACAUAAUUGACGCUGAUGCACGAAAGCGUGGGGAUCGAACAGGAUUAGAUACCCCCGUAGUCC
rnacentral:rRNA from 1 species